rnacentral:rRNA from 1 species
UACAGAGGUCCCAAGCGUUGUUCGGAUUCACUGGGCGUAAAGGGUGCGUAGGCGGUCGGGUAAGUCUGACGUGAAAUCUUCAAGCUCAACUUGGAAACUGCGUCGGAUACUAUUCGGCUAGAGGAAUGGAGGGGAGACUGGAAUACUUGGUGUAGCAGUGAAAUGCGUAGAUACAAUCAAGAACUCCGAUUGCGUAGGCAGCUAACUAGGCUGUAACUGACGCUGAGGCACGAAAGCGUGGGGAGCGAACAGG